GGGCCCUGGUCUCAUGAGACAGCGUGUUCCACCAGGCCAGAGCCAGAGUUGAAAAGGCCCUGGCUCUGGUUAAAGCUAAUCUAACUUCCUUAGGGCCCGGGACCACUAGGGUGUAUUAGUUGGCUCUGCCUCUCAUUGACUCCAGUUCCAUCUACCACUGGGGUCCCUGCCUUCCCAGCACCAGCCACCACAGAUUAUUCUUCUGAUUCAAUUUAUUCUGGUAGAAAGAAAUUGCAGUUGGUGCUAAUCUGUACCUAAAU